rnacentral:lncRNA from 10 species
UUGGCUUCAGCCCUGAUCUGUUCAGAGCCCUCAGCACGGUACUGGAGGAGAGGCCUUGGGCCGCAUCGUGGCAUAUUGUGGCUUUGGGGAGAAAGAAAAGCAGAUAGUGCAAUGGAAAGAGCGUGGACUUGAGAGUCAGACUUGACUUCAACUCCUAGCUCUACCACUUACCACCUAGGUGACCUCAAGCCACUUUCUCAGCCUUUCUGAGACUCUGUAUCCUCAUGUGUAUCCUAGAGUUUGUCUGAUAGGGCUAUAGUGAGAAUUAAUUGAAUUAAGUAUAGUGAGAAUUAAGCCAGGUCUGGAGAGGCCUGGCUACUGGUGAGUGAGGUAACUGAGAUCAGGUAUGGAGAGGACUGGCUCCUGGUGAGUGAGUUAAUUGAGAUGAGGUAUGGAGGGACCUGUCUCCUGGUGACUGAGUUAAUUGAGAUGAGGUGUGGAGGGACCUGGCUCCUGGUGAGUGAGUUAAUUGAGAUCCAUUAGGGAGGGACCUGGCUCCUGGCGAGUGAGUUAAUUGACACCCGGUAUGGAGGGACCUGGCUCCUGGCGAGUGAUUUAAUUGAGACCCGGUGUGGAGGGACUUGGCUCCUGGUGAGUGAGUGAAUUGAGAUGAGGUAUGGAGGGACCUGUCUCCUGGUGAGUGAGUUAAUUGAGAUGAGGUAUGGAGGGACCUGGCUCCUGGUGAGUGAGUGAAUUGAGAUCAGGUAUGGAGGGACUUGGCUCCUGGUGAGUGAGUUA